UGUUGAGCUGCCAUCUUUUCAGAGGUGUUGAAACUGCUGCUGCACCACCUGUCCAGGUAGGCGAGGGUCCCUUUUCCUUUGAGGAGGUGUCCAUCUAUUUCACGGAGGCAGAAUGGGCCCUGCUGGAUCCAGGACAAAGAGCUCUGUACAAGGAUGUUAUGUUGGAGAAUUACGGGAAUGUGGCCUUUCUGGCAAAAGAUGAUCAGAGGAAUGAGGAGGGUGAGGAAUUUCAUCAGCAAAUGCCAGAGAGAGAUAAAAAUGAAACCUUAAAGGAAAACGUCACGAAUCGAAGCAGAGCAAAGAGAAAUAAAGGUGGCAGUAUGGUUGAGAAACGAGAUGGAAGAGAGCAUAAUGCACAUUUUCCAAAGCACAGGAUAAUGAAGGCAAGUCAAUCCAUUCAUUGUGAAAACUACAUUGGAAAUAGAUCAAAGCUUCUUGGGCACCAAAGAACCCACACAGGGGAGAAAUCUUUUGA